rnacentral:rRNA from 1 species
CACGUAGGGCGCAAGCGUUGUCCGGAAUUAUUGGGCGUAAAGAGCUCGUAGGCGGACUGUUGCGUCCGCUGUGAAAAGCUGGGGCUUAACCCUGGCCUUGCAGUGGAUACGGGCAGACUAGAGGUAGGUAGGGGAGAAUGGAAUUCCCGGUGUAGCGGUGAAAUGCGCAGAUAUCGGGAAGAACACCCGUGGCGAAGGCGGCUCUCUGGGACGGUACUGACGCUGAGACGCGAAAGCGUGGGGAGCGAACAGG